GUCCUAGCCGUAAACGGUGCACGUUUGCUGUAAAAGGAAUCGACCCCUUUUGUGGCGUAGCCAACGCGUUAAACGUGCCGCCUGGGAAGUACGGUCGCAAGAUUAAAACUCAAAGAAAUUGACGGGGGCCUGCACAAGCGGUGGAGUAUGUGGCUCAAUUCGAUGCAACGCGAAGAACCUUACCUGGCCUUGACAUGUACGUAGUAGAAGGGUGAAAGCCUGACGAGAUAGCAAUAUCAGCGUACACAGGUGCUGCAUGGCUGUCGU
rnacentral:rRNA from 1 species